UAAGGAAUUUUUGGCAAUGGAGGAAACUCUGACCGAGCGACGCCGCGUGAACAAUGAAGUACUUCGGUAUAUACAGUUCUUUUAUUGAAAAAGAAAAAAUAGUGGAAAAACUAUCCUGAAAUUAUUCAAUGAAUAAGCCCCGGCUAAUUAUGUGCCAGCAGCCGCGGUAAUACAUAAGGGGCGAGCGUUAUCCGGAAUUAUUGGGCGUAAAGGGUGCGUAGGCGGUUUGAUAAGUCUAUAGUUUAAUUACAGUGCUUAACACUGUACCGCUAUAGAAACUGUCUGACUAGAGUUAGAUAGAGGCAAGCGGAAUUCCAUGUGUAGCGGUAAAAUGCGUAAAUAUAUGGAGGAACACCAGAGGCGUAGGCGGCUUGCUGGGUCUUAACUGACGCUGAGGCACGAAAGCGUGGGGAGCAAACAGGAUUAGAUACCCUGGUAGUCCACGCCGUAAACGAUGAGUACUAAGUGUCGGGUUACUGCUCGGUACUGAAGUUAACACAUUAAGUACUCCGCCUGAGUAGUACGUACGCAAGUAUGAAACUUAAAGGAAUUGACGGGACCCCGCACAAGCGGUGGAUCAUGUUGUUUAAUUCGAAGAUACACGAAAAACCUUACCAGGUCUUGACAUAAUUUUGCGACAUUAUAGAAAUAUAAUGAAGGUUAUCAGAAUUACAGGUGGUGCAUGGUUGUCGUCAGCUCGUGUCGUGAGAUGUUAGGUUAAGUCCUAAAACGAGCGCAACCCUUGUCGUUAGUUGCGACCACAUAAUGGUGAGCACUUUAGCGAGACUGCCAAUGAAAAAUUGGAGGAAGGUGAGGAUUACGUCAAAUCAUCAUGCCCCUU
rnacentral:rRNA from 1 species